GUAGGUAUGGCGGAAUGGAAUACGUAGUAGACUAAGGAUCUACGGCUUAGAGCAUGAGGGUUCAAAUCCCUCUACCUACA
rnacentral:tRNA from 1 species